CCAAGCUUCACACAUUAUUUGCUCUGUUGCUUCCCUCUGGAGCUGGGGUGGGUGCGGGUGUCUCCCAAACAGAUUAACUCUUUGUUCUGCACCAACCGUCACUCACAACCUGAGGCAAUCUCCUGCCAUGUCCCUCCUUCUGUUUUUAGGAGCUUGUGCUGGGACUUUUCUCCCUCUUCUCUAAGGAAUUCCAUCUCUGAUCUCCCACGUGAUAAUCUACCAAGCCCAGCUGGGAUCUGCAACAUCUGAACUGGCAGAUGGGAUGAAAAGGGAGAGGAAGAGAAACACUGCUGGGCACACAUGAUUCUUCACAUGGGGUCAGUUGACUGGUCUUAAUAAGAUAUCUCAGCCCCUGCUUACCUCUCCUGAC
rnacentral:lncRNA from 1 species